AGAGUAAUAGUAAUAAUUUAUAACAUCUAGUUUGCAACUAGAAGGAGCUGAUUAAACAGCUUACUUUA
rnacentral:tRNA from 1 species